GCAAGUCGAGCGGAAACGAUGGUAGCUUGCUACUAGGCGUCGAGCGGCGGACGGGUGAGUAACGCGUAGGAACUUACCCAGUAGUUGGGGAUAGCCCGGAGAAAUCCGGAUUAAUACCGAAUAAUCUCUACGGAGGAAAGUGGGCUUCGGCUCACGCUACUGGAUGGGCCUGCGUUGGAUUAGCUAGUUGGUUGGGUAAAGGCUGACCAAGGCGAUGACGGGUAGCUGGUCUGAGAGGACGACC
rnacentral:rRNA from 1 species